rnacentral:rRNA from 1 species
AACGAACGCUGGCGGCAGGCUUAACACAUGCAAGUCGAACGGCUGUAGCAAUACAGCAGUGGCAGACGGGUGAGUAACACGUGGGAACCUUCCUAGGGGUACGGAACAACUCAGGGAAACUUGAGCUAAUACCGUAUACGUCCGUAAGGAGAAAGAUUUAUCGCCCUUAGACGGGCCCGCGUCGGAUUAGCUAGUUGGUGGGGUAACGGCCUACCAAGGCGACGAUCCGUAGCUGAUCUGAGAGGAUGAUCAGCCACACUGGGACUGAGACACGGCCCAGACUCCUGCGGGAGGCAGCAGUGGGGAAUCUUGGACAAUGGGCGCAAGCCUGAUCCAGCCAUGCCGCGUGAGUGAAGAAGGCCUUAGGGUUGUAAAGCUCUUUUGGCAGGGACGAUAAUGACGGUACCUGCAGAAGAAGCCCCGGCUAACUUCGUGCCAGCCGCCGCCGUAACAC